UGAGGGAGCGGAGGCACAAAAUGGCGGUCUUGGGCUGGCUGUGAGGUUUGGUGUGCCAGGCAAGCAGCCGGAAUGAGGCCUGUAAGGCUGGCUCAAGGCAGAGUGUGAGCAUGUGAAUUCACGUGAAGGUAGUACAUGUGUGCAGGUUUGUUUUCCAUGGGUGUGGAGCUCAACACUGCCUUGGGUGUGACCUCUCCUGCCUGUGCUCAUGGUGUUUAACCUAAACCUCUUAAGAGCUAAGAAGCUCUUGGUGUUGUGUGAACUGGACUGCUUGGAGGGAUACCAUACGGCACUCCCAGUCACUGUUAUCCAGGUCUUAAACGGCUGUAGGAAGUGUUUCCAAAGCUGCCACGAGAUUCUGAUCUGUAGUUUAACUUUGGUUUUUCAGAGAGACCGUAGGUUAAAGUGACUCCUGCCCCUGGCUAGCACAAAAGGCAGGAACGGGAAGGUGCUGGUGCCAUGAGGCCUACAGGGUUGCCCUGAGUUCAUGUUGAAUUUGUUCUUAGUGUGAUGUCAAGGAAUGCGAGCAGCUAUUUGAGUGUCACGCAAGCAGAGGAUAUCACCCAGAAGACUGAGCAGAGAUUUGGACUGUUGAAUCCAAGCUACAGGAUACAUCCCACAGUGCUGUGGGUCUGGAGCUAAACAGAGACAGGAAAUGAAUCCAGCCUUGGCCCCCUCUGCCCACGCUGGGUGAAGGGCUCCAGGCGCCUCUGAUGAUGCUGCAUCAAAGAUUUUCCACAUGGGCUGGCAGCUAACUCAAAGAAGAAGCUUUACCAGUCUGUGCAUGUAACGAAUGUGCUGACACCCCCUUGUCCUUUCUGUGCUCUCUUACUCCUCUUGUUAGAAAAUGAAUGCCAGAUUUUGAACAGUUCGAGAGCUGAAACUGAAUCUGAAGUUUACAAAUGGCUCUAGGUUGGUAUUUCCAAAGGAACAGUGUGGUGGUAAAAUUACUUGGAGUAUUCUCUGGCAACAUGAAGUUAUUAGGUAGCCAGCUUCCACUAAAUAUCAGGAGAUUUUAUUUUUUCCUGUGUGGUUCUGCUUCUUUAUCCUUUCUUUAUCAGGACAAACCAAAUUUUAUUUUAAGAGAGAGCGCAUUCAGUGUCUGGAGCAAUAGGUUGGGUUUUGACAAUAGGUUUCCAAACCCUGACCCACCACAUCCUUCUUGUAAGAACUUGUGUAGGACAAUCAAAAUUCUUUGAUUCAAAAUGUUUUGAUAUCCCUCUUAAAGAGAUCAUAUUAAGUCUUUAUUUUGUAAGAGAUAUUGGGAGUAUUAGAGUUGAAACUGUUCCUACAGGGUAAUGAGGGGACUAUGUAUGCAGCUGAAGUGUGGUUGAGAACUCACAGUCAUUGGGCUCAGUGGGACUCAGAUCUGCUGCUCAUGUUUGGAG